GAAAGAGGUGGUUGUAUUUAAAACAGCCCAGAAGGGAAACAAAUACAACACAGCUGGCAGAGCCGGCAAGAACACAGACAGAAACCAAUUACACUAAGGGCUAGAGUCUAGACAAAUCUAAGGCUCCGUCGGAGUUUAGUAAACUGGCUCGACCCCAACCAAAUAACAGUAAAGAAAGCCAGCUCAAAACAGAGAUCCCAUCUGGGGGACAGGGUAAACCAUGUUGAUGACUUUCCCAUUUCCCCAUUUCCCAUUUCCCUUCGCGGCUAGAGGCGUUGCAGAUAUAUGCCGAGGCUGUCCACCCCUCAAAUAAGUAAGUUCUUCCCUUUCGAUUUGCGUAACUUCAUUUCCUGUUAUAAGUUUGGAGUUUUGAGUUACAUGACGAUUUUCAAUCAAAUUCGCCAGCUUUUGAAAUCAAAAUACCUAUCAGUGUCAGAUUUACUCUUUCAAAGGCGCAAUUAUGUUUCAUGGCUUACAUCCAAAAUUGUCUAUAGAUGUUGUAGUUGUACCAAAUACGUAGAAAAGGUUCCGCUUCUCCUUUAAAAAGAGGGAAAUAGAAAUGUAGUUUCCAUUUGGACUUGGAUUUGGAUUUGGAUUUGGAUUUGGAUUUGGAUUUUAGUCGGUUUGCUGCCUAUAAAUAAUAGGGUAGCUGCUUUGGUAAUUCUAGAUUGCAAAGUUUUGAAUGAAAAGCAGGGCCUUUUAAUCAGCUAUUGGCUUCCUCCCUGCUUUUUAUUUACGCAGAAUCAAAUACAAGUGUGAUUUCAUAAACGUUGUUGUGAAUGAAAAACACCAGCACCAGCUUUUAAUCUGCAGCCUUGUCUUCUUUUCUUUGUUUUAAGGUUUCACUGCUAGAGUCACUAGCUUAGAUUAUUUGUAUUCACGAACCCAACUUUUUCGCCGCCUUCGUUUAUUAUAGAUGAUCGCUUCUUUUCAUGUGUUUGAUAGUUGGUUUUAGUAACAAUCGGUUUGCUCCACUUCUGCAGCUUAUUUCAUUACAUUGUAAUAUUUAAGAAGAGAGUAAAUUAAUAACAAGGGUGUUCUAACUUCCAUGCCGAAAAGAAAGGCUAAGCAUUCUGGAUGGACAUAUGGGAAACGACAAAAGAUUCCAAUCAAUUUGGGUGAUAAGGAAGAUAAUUAUUCGGAGGAGGAUCAGAUCAGUCAGCUACCAGAUGUCAUUCUAAUUAGCAUUCUUUCCUUAUUGGGUAUUAGGGAAGCAGCAAGAACUUGUGUCCUCUCUAAGAGGUGGAUCUGUGUGUGGAAACAGAUUACUUGUCUCAACUUCGAUGAUAUAGAUGCAUUAUCCAAACCACAGAAGAAAAGAAGGCAACGAGUGAAAACAACAUCUAGUUACAAUUGGGUGAAUCAAGUCUUGCAAUUGCACCAGGGUCCAUCCUUAGAUGAAUUCAAAAUUCGUUCUUCCUCACUCGAUUACAGUCCUAGUAGUUCUGAAAUCGACAAUUGGAUUGAAUUUGCAAUGUGGAGGAGAGUUCAAGGCCUUGAGAUAGAUUUGGAAGCAGGCAGACGGUCUCGUUUUUCUUCUCCCAGUUAUAUCUUUCCAGAUAAGCCAUUUAGAAGCCCUUUUGGUAUUUCCUGCAUCAAGUCCCUUAAACACCUCUCUUCGUCCUUUGUAAAUAUAACCGGCGAACUUGUUUAGCACUUUCUAUCCUACUGUGAACUCCUUGAGCAUCUCUGCAUUUCUUGCUCAGAUCAAUUAGUAAAUUUGAAAGUUGCUGGUUCAUCACUCCGGUUGAAUUUCCUACAAAUAAGUGAGUGUACGUCUUUAGGAUUAGUUGAGAUUUGGGCUCCUAAUCUCGUAUCAUUUAUUUAUAAGGGAAUGUUGGGUUUUUGUGACAGUAUUCGUUUGAGGCAUGCACCCUUGCUUGUUAAUGUAUCUCUUGCAGAAAGUACUAGGUCUAUAAUUGCACCUUUUCUUUCGGUUAAAAGUUGUAUUCCUCAGCUGCCAGUUAUAUCUUUCCAGAUAAGCCAUUUAGAAGACCUUUCGGCGUUUCCUGCAUCAAGUCCCUUAAACACCUCUCCUUGUCAUUUGUAAACAUAACCGGUGAACUUGUUGAGCACUUUCUAUCCAAUUGUGAACUCCUUGAGCAUCUUUGCGUUUCUUGCUCGGAUCAAUUAGUAACUUUGAAAGUUGCCGGUUUGUCACUCCGGUUGAAGUUCCUACAAAUAAGUGACUGUAUAUAUUUAGAAAAAAUUGAGAUUUGUGCUCCUAAUCUCGUGUCAUUUAUUUAUCACGGAAUGCUGGGUUUCUAUGACAGUAUUCGUUUGAGGCAUGCACCCUUGCUUGUAAAUGUAUCACUUGCAGAAAGUACUAGGUCUAUAGUUCCAACUUUUCUUCCGGUUAAAAGUUGUCUUCCUCAGCUGGUGACUCUCAAUCUCAACUUGCACAUGAAUCUGAAUAUGGUCAGUAUAUGAAAUAAUUCAGUAUUUAUUAUUAUUAUUAUAUAUAUAUAUAGACUUUAUUUUCAAAAUUUGCUUUUCAUCUGUCAGAGUGCAAUGGUGAGGCACCCAGAAUUUCCAGAAUUAACUUGUCUCAAGGACUUAACAUUGAAUGUUGUCGCAAGUGAUCGGCAAAGCCUCCUUAAUUUGACUAAAUUGAUAGAGCGGUCUCCUUUCUUGCAUAGAUUUACAUUGGAUGUAAAUUUAUUUUCAGCAUGUCUUACAAUUUAAAGUUGGGAAGUUUAUUUAAUGGUUUCAGAAAGGUUUUUGUUGAUUCAUGUUUAUGCACACAAACUUCUAAAAGUUGUAUUGUUUUUCUGUGGUUUUUGAAACUUGUAUAUGUGAAAUUAACUUGUCUAAGGUAGAUUGAUAAGCUAUUGUUUUUGUCCUUGUGCAGCUAAGAUGGGCACGAGUGCCAUGUCUGAGGAAUUUGCAGAAGGUUAAUAAAUGUCCUCAUCAGUGCCUUAAGGUGGUGAAAUUUUCUGGGUUCGUUGGGUCUAGUAUCGACACUGAGCUUGCCAUGUACUUCACUGAGAAUGCCGUUGCGCUUGAAACGUUUCUCGUCGAUCUCAGAAAGGUUGUCGUUGAAGAAUCCACUCUGUUGUCUGAAUUUGUUACAACCCAGAAACAAUUGAGGGCAGCAAGAAAGCGUGCUUUGCAGAUAGGUAAAAAACUACCUCCAGGAACUGAGUUAAUUGUUUUGUAAUUUCACUUGUUUAAUCCUCUUUGCUACAGACGUGAUACACUUUUUGCAGCAUGUAAUUUGCUACUAUUUAUUUCUGACAUUUUCCGAAAUUGAAAUAAUGUUUGUGUGGUGAACAAGGAUGGCAGUUUAGGUACUUGAUUGAUUUCUUCCAAUAUGUAGAUUCUUGAAUGAGUUGGAGACAAAAUGAAGAAGGACAUGUGAUUCGCAU
rnacentral:lncRNA from 1 species